CGCUGCAAGAGCUUCUCGUUUGAUUAGUAAAAUAAUCACGAGCCGCAACUGAAAUUUGUUUCGCAGGGAGGCAAUCUAAUUAAAGAGAAAGUAUAACUUUGUUAUAGGUAGACUAACGACUAUUAGUAGUAAUUAUGAAGCGAGCGUAGGUGGCUUUACAAGUUUGUUUACAUACCGGGCGAUGAAGGACACCAACGUAUUACCCAUGCCGACAUAUUACAUGUGAAGCCAUGUCUAUGGUGAGAAGUCCGGCCAUCAUGGCACCGUACAAGAGAAAGCAUAGCGGUGCCUACUGUUCGUCCUUUAAUUGUAAGAAUAGAUGGUCGGGAACAAACAAUGUUGCCUUUCAUCGUUUUCCGAAGGAUCCUGAAAGUGUCACGUCGUCGAUCUCCACCGGACAUGCCAAGCGACUGAGGGUCAACCACGGCUGCUAAUGACUCGUGCUGUGGACGGAGCAUUCCCAAGUCCCGAGGUGUUUAGCAACCAAGCCUACACCAACCCAAACUCCAGCGACAAGUUUCUCCGGACACCGUGCGUCGUUGGGAAUGCCGCGAGAACUGUUAGUGUUACACUUUUAUGUUUUAUGCAUUUUGGCAGUGAUACCGCUCUUGUAUGUGAAACAGUUCCGAGCCUCCAGCCUUUGGUAAAGUAAUUAUUACGAGAGUUUUCCAGUGUUUUCAUCACUUUCAUGAUACCUACCGUUAUUGCUUGAGUAGGCAACUCAUCUAGAGUAACGAUAAAAUGUCUAGAACCUUCGUAUUCACUAAAAACAUGCAAUUUUCGAACUAGUUUGUUAAACAAUCGUGUGCUGUAAUGUUGAAGCCGGUAGUCUUGGACUAGCUAGUAACGCCGCCUAUCCGCCAUAGACAUAGUACAGUCUCUCUCAAAUGCAGUUGUUUUCAAUUUAUCACCGACAAUUUACAAGA